UACAGGGGGGGCAAGCGUUGUUCGGAAUUACUGGGCGUAAAGGGUUCGUAGGUGGCCAACUAAGUCAGACGUGAAAUCCCUCAGCUUAACUGGGGAACUGCGCCUGAUACUGGAUGGCUUGAGUGUAGGAGAGGAAUGCGGAAUUCCAGGUGUAGCGGUGAAAUGCGUAGAUAUCUGGAGGAACACCGGUGGCGAAGGCGGCAUUCUGGACUACAACUGACACUGAGGAACGAAAGCCAGGGGAGCGAACGGG
rnacentral:rRNA from 1 species